rnacentral:rRNA from 1 species
UGGGGAAUUUUGGACAAUGGGCGAAAGCCUGAUCCAGCAAUGCCGCGUGUGUGAAGAAGGCCUUCGGGUUGUAAAGCACUUUUGUCCGGAAAGAAAUCCUUGGCUCUAAUACAGUCGGGGGAUGACGGUACCGGAAGAAUAAGCACCGGCUAACUACGUGCCAGCAGCCGCGGUAAUACGUAGGGUGCAAGCGUUAAUCGGAAUUACUGGGCGUAAAGCGUGCGCAGGCGGUUUGCUAAGACCGAUGUGAAAUCCCCGGGCUCAACCUGGGAACUGCAUUGGUGACUGGCAGGCUAGAGUAUGGCAGAGGGGGGUAGAAUUCCACGUGUAGCAGUGAAAUGCGUAGAGAUGUGGAGGAAUACGAUGGCGAAGGCAGCCCCCUGGGCCAAAUACUGACGCUCAUGCACGAAAGCGUGGGGAGCAAACAGGAUUAGAUACCCUGGUAGUCCACGCCCUAAACGAUGUCAACUAGUUGUUGGGGAUUCAUUUCCUUAGUAACGUAGCUAACGCGUGAAGUUGACCGCCUGGGGAGUACGGUCGCAAGAUUAAAACUUAAAUGAAUUGACGGGG